rnacentral:misc_RNA from 1 species
GAUUAAUGAGGAAUUCUUUCUUAAUAGUCAAUUGUAAGUAUUAUCACAGUGAAAAGCAGAGGGGUGAGGAAAACAAUGUUUCUUGCUCCUAAGGUUAGGUUCACAAAUUUGGCUAAAAGCAGAAGUCUUAUGUGCUACCACAAUUAGUACAUAGUAACACACCUAUACAGCAACCGAGUGGACUUCUAAAGGAAGCAAUUCCAAACUGAUCACUUGCUAGUUCAACUAAACCAUGUCAACACUUGUCUUCAACAACUUAUCAGGAUACUUGCGGGAGGAACCACUUAAUUCUCAAGACGCAGCUUUAAGGGCUCAAACUCCAAAAAACAGGAUUCACAAAUUGGACAAUAGGACUAGUCUGAUAUCAUUUUAUACAUUUGCUCAAAUGAAAGAAGUUGGCAUAACUAUAAUCUAAUUGUUUACAUCUAAAAUUCAUUUCAAUAGAGGCAUUACAACACUGAACAUAUAUGAUACAUAAGAUUCUUCACAUGUUCUCUUGUAAAACUUCUAUUUCAGAAUUGCUAUUUUUUCCCUCUAAAAUCAGAAUCAUCUUCCUACCACUUGAAUAAAAAAGUUUAACAAAGAAAGCCAUUCUGAGACAACAUCACCUCAUGUAGACAUCUUAAUUCAAGCACCAGUUCUCAGGCAUCUCUAUUUCAUGACAAACUAUGAACAUCAGACAGAACAAGGACUUUGCCAUGUAGAUAUGUCAGUGACAAGAUCUCGUAGUUGAUCAAUGAGAAGCUUGAGAUAUGCAUUCUUGUUCACAAGUUCCUUUCUCAGAUUGGAGGCUUGUUCUUCUAAUUUCUCAAUCUCGGCUUGAUUUGCUGGAGAUGAUGUACUGUUUGUGGUUGAACCCGUUUCAAAUGCUUUUGCCUUCUGAGAAUUGGGGAUCGCCGCGAGGACCUCACGAAGAGCAGCUACUGAAUUCUUGUAGCGAAACCGAGCCUCAUCGAGGGCUCCAUUACUCGUACCAACACCGCCAACAGCUGCAGCGCCACCAUCCAGGUGAUGGACACCAUCAGAUGCAGCAUCGCCAUUGGCUACCACACCAUUUUGAGAGAGAGAAGGUAUAUUAUUAGCAGCAGUAAUAGGUGAAGCUGUGGUGGUGGUACCAGUAGCAGUGGAACCGGUGGACCACAAAGUAGGGUUACAGAGUUCGUCGUUCAUGGAGGAGAGGAUCUGGUAAGCAGCUUGGAUGGUUUCUUCCAGAUGCUUCUGACCUUCAAUUGCAAGCUCCUGAGUUGUUUUGGGUAGCGUUAUUGAAGUCAUGACGCUGUCCUCCAUUUCUAUUUUCUUUUUCCUUCAAUAGUUGGAAAAGGUUUUUCUGCUCUCUCUUAGCUAUCGUUUCCUUUCCAAAAGUUUCUUAGCUCCCAAACAAAGGAAUUUGACGGAACAAAGAA